CCCUAAAAGCUUUAUUUUUAAUGUAUAUCUUAAAAAUUAAUUUUAAAUAGAAGAUUAAAUAUAAAAAUUAACUGGGGUAGUUAUUUCAAUUAAAUUGAAAUUAUUUUUACAGAUUUAAAUAAGUGGAUUUAGUUCUUUUAUAUAAGGAAAAUUAGGUUUAGUUACUUUAGGGAUAACAGCGUUAUAUUUUUGGAGAGAUCUUAUCUAUAAAAAUGAUUGCGACCUCGAUGUUGAAUUAAAAUUACUUUAUAAAGCAGAAU
rnacentral:rRNA from 1 species